UACGGAGGGGGCUAGCGUUAUUCGGAAUUAUUGGGCGUAAAGGGCGUGUAGGCGGCUUCGUGCGUCCCAUGUGAAAGCCCCUCGGCUCAACCGGGGAACUGCAUGGGAAACUGCGGAGCUUGAGUCCGGGAGAGGAUAGUGGAAUUCCCAGUGUAGCGGUGAAAUGCGUAGAUAUUGGGAGGAACACCGGUGGCGAAGGCGGCUAUCUGGACCGGUACUGACGCUGAGACGCGAAAGCCAGGGGAGCAAACGGG
rnacentral:rRNA from 1 species